rnacentral:rRNA from 1 species
UACGGAGGAUGCAAGCGUUAUCCGGAUUCAUUGGGUUUAAAGGGUGCGUAGGCGGCUCUUUAAGUCAGUGGUGAAAUCCUGCCGCUUAACGGUAGAAUUGCCAUUGAUACUGAAGAGCUUGAGUACAGUUGAGGUAAGCGGAAUGUGUAGUGUAGCGGUGAAAUGCUUAGAUAUUACACAGAACACCGAUUGCGAAGGCAGCUUACUAAACUGCAACUGACGCUGAUGCACGAAAGCGUGGGGAGCGAACAGGAUUAGAAACCCUAGUAGU